UACGAAGGGGGCUAGCGUUGUUCGGAAUCACUGGGCGUAAAGCGCGUGUAGGCGGAUCGUUAAGUCGGGGGUGAAAUCCUGAGGCUCAACCUCAGAACUGCCUUCGAUACUGGCGAUCUUGGAGUCCGGGAGAGGUGAGUGGAACUCCUAGUGUAGAGGUGAAAUUCGUAGAUAUUAGGAAGAACACCAGUGGCGAAGGCGGCUCACUGGCCCGGUACUGACGCUGAUAUGCGAAAGCGUGGGGAGCAAACAGG
rnacentral:rRNA from 1 species